rnacentral:rRNA from 1 species
GACGAACGCUGGCGGCGUGCCUAAUACAUGCAAGUAGAACGCACGGUUUAUACCGUAGCUUGCUACACCAUAGACUGUGAGUUGCGAACGGGUGAGUAACGCGUAGGUAACCUGCCUGGUAGCGGGGGAUAACUAUUGGAAACGAUAGCUAAUACCGCAUAAUAUUAAUUAUUGCAUGAUAAUUAAUUGAAAGGUGCAAUUGCACCACUACCAGAUGGACCUGCGUUGUAUUAGCUAGUAGGUGAGGUAACGGCUCACCUAGGCGACGAUACAUAGCCGACCUGAGAGGGUGAUCGGCCACACUGGGACUGAGACACGGCCCAGACUCCUAUGGGAGGCAGCAGUAGGGAAUCUUCGGCAAUGGACGAAAGUCUGACCGAGCAACGCCGCGUGAGUGAAGAAGGUUUUCGGAUCGUAAAGCUCUGUUGUAAGAGAAGAACGGGUGUGAGAGUGGAAAGUUCACACUGUGACGGUAUCUUACCAGAAAGGGACGGCUAACUACGUG